UACGUAGGGUGCGAGCGUUAAUCGGAAUUACUGGGCGUAAAGCGUGCGCAGGCGGUUUUGUAAGUCAGAUGUGAAAUCCCCGGGCUCAACCUGGGAACUGCGUUUGAAACUACAAGGCUAGAGUGUAGCAGAGGGGGGGGUAGAAUUCCACGUGUAGCAGUGAAAUGCGUAGAGAUGUGGAGGAAUACCAAUGGCGAAGGCAGCCCCCUGGGUUAACACUGACGCUCAUGCACGAAAGCGUGGGGAGCAAACAGG
rnacentral:rRNA from 1 species